GGGGGUUUAGCUCAGUGGUAGAGUGCUUGCCUAGCAAGUGCAAGGCCCUGGGUUCGGUUCCCAGCUCCG
rnacentral:tRNA from 1 species